UGGGGAAUAUUGCACAAUGGGGGAACCCCUGAUGCAGCGACGCCGCGUGAGCGAAGAAGGCUUUCGAGUCGUAAAGCUCUGUCCUAUGAGAAGAUAAUGACGGUAUCAUAGGAGGAAGCCCUGGCUAAAUACGUGCCAGCAGCCGCGGUAAUACGUAUGGGGCGAGCGUUGUCCGGAAUUAUUGGGCGUAAAGGGUACGUAGGUGGUUUUUUAAGUCAGGUGUCAAAGCGUGGAGCUUAACUCCAUUAAGCACUUGAAACUGAAAGACUUGAGUGAAGGAGAGGAAAGUGGAAUUCCUAGUGUAGCGGUGAAAUGCGUAGAUAUUAGGAGGAAUACCGGUGGCGAAGGUGACUUUCUGGACUUUUACUGACGCUCAGGUACGAAAGCGUGGGGAGCAAACAGG
rnacentral:rRNA from 1 species